rnacentral:rRNA from 1 species
UACGGGGGGAGCAAGCGUUGUUCGGAUUUACUGGGCGUAAAGGGCGGGUAGGCGGCCACCGCAAGUCGACUGUGAAAUCUCCGGGCUUAACCCGGAAAGGUCAGCCGAUACUGCGGGGCUAGAGUGCAGAAGGGGCAACUGGAAUUCUCGGUGUAGCGGUGAAAUGCGUAGAUAUCGAGAGGAACCCCUGCGGCGAAGGCGGGUUGCUGGGCCGACACUGACGCUGAAGCGCGAAAGCCAGGGGAGCGAACGGG